rnacentral:RNase_P_RNA from 2 species
CUUGAAAUGAAUUCGCACAAGGGGUUUCAAGUGUCCCUGGGAAGGUCUGAGAAUGUCGCUUUUAGGUUCUUGCUGAACCCCUUCUUAAUGGAGGUCGGGUAGUUAGAAAUAAACUGGUUGACCAUGGAUUAUGGUAAGAGAGAUUGUAACUUUAUUAGUUACGAUUGAUACCUUACAUGGUUGACUGAGUUGAAAAUGACCCGAGACUAGCUCGUUUAAGCUCGAUGUGCGAAGUGGUUAGACUAUUGGUUUAACCAUUACUCAAUUCGGACUAUUACAUUUCAAG